UUAUUGUUAAUUAUUAAUUUUUUAAUUAGUAAAUAUUAAUUAUUAUUAUUAUUUAUCUAACUCUUGUUCAAAACUAAUUUUUUUUUAUUAUUAAAAGGCCCCACAUGACAACUUUGUACUCCCGCUUUUUCUCAGGUUGGCCCUGUUUGUUAAAGUUAUUAUUUAGUUCUCUCAUUCUUUGUUCUAGGAAUCUCCAUCUUAAGUGUUCUUUGGUUGGGCUGGCUAAUGUAUCUAUUAAUGUUUUGAAUACUGGUAUAUCUUCAAGCAUGUUUAGGUUUUCAUUACAGAUGUGUAAUGAUCUUUUUUUUGAAUGUUUCUUUUAUAAACUGUGGGAAGGCUAUGUCUCCUAGGAUUGUGACUACUUUUUCCAGUGGGAUUCUUGUUUUUCCAUUGCUCUUAGUUGUAUGUUGAUUGCCCAUUUGAGUUUUUUGAUAUAAUUUUUUCUUAAUCUUUUUUGUAAAGAUUCUGUUUCCUUUUUGAUGAAUUCCAUACUCAAUGUUGUGGUGAGAUUUUCUUGUUGUGUUAG
rnacentral:lncRNA from 1 species